rnacentral:rRNA from 1 species
AUUGAAAGCUGGCGGCAUGCCUUACACAUGCAAGUCGAACGGCAGCACGGGUGCUUGCACCUGGUGGCGAGUGGCGAACGGGUGAGUAAUACAUCGGAACGUACCUUAUCGUGGGGGAUAACGCAGCGAAAGCUGUGCUAAUACCGCAUACGCCCUGAGGGGGAAAGCGGGGGAUCGCAAGACCUCGCGCGAUUAGAGCGGCCGAUGCCUGAUUAGAUUGUUGGUGGGGUAAAAGCCCACCAAGGCGACGAUCAGUAGCUGGUCUGAGAGGACGCUCAGCCACACUGGGACUGAGAAACGGCCCAGACUCCUACGGGAGGAAGCAGGGGGGAAUUUUGGACAAUGGGGGCAACCCUGAUCCAGCAAUGCCGGGUGAGUGAAGAAGGCCUUCGGGUUGUAAAGCUCUUUUGUCAGGGAAGAAACACCGGCUCUAACACAGUCCGGGAAUGACGGUACCUGAAGAAUAAGCACCGGCUAACUACGUGCCAGCCGCCGCGGUAA